GACGAACGCUGGCGGCGUGCUUAACACAUGCAAGUCGAACGAUGAAGAAAAGAAUUGAAGCUUCGGCAGAAAUUCAUUUCGGAUUAGUGGCAGACGGGUGAGUAACGCGUGAGCAACCUACCUCUUACAAAGGGAUAGCCUCGGGAAACCGGGAUUAAUACCAUAUAACAUUGCGACGAAGCAUUUCGAUGCAAUCAAAGCUACGGCGGUAAGAGAGGGGCUCGCGUCCCAUUAACCAGAUGGUGAGGUAACGGCUCACCAUAGUAACGAUGGGUAACCGGGCUGAGAGAGUGGACGGUCACACUGGAACUGAGACACAGUCCAGACUCCUACGGGAGGCAGCAGUGGGGAAUAUUGCACAAUGGAGGGAACUCUGAUGCAGCGCCGCCGCGUGAGUGAUGAAGGAAUUCGUUUCGUAAAGCUCUGUUCUAUGGGAAGAAAAGGACUGUACCCAAGGAGAAAGCUCCGGCUAAAUACGUG
rnacentral:rRNA from 1 species